rnacentral:rRNA from 1 species
CCUACGGGUGGCAGCAGUGAGGAAUAUUGGACAAUGGACGAGAGUCUGAACCAGCCAAGUAGCGUGAAGGAUGACUGCCCUAUGGGUUGUAAACUUCUUUUAUAUGGGAAUAAAACGUUCCACGUGUGGGAUUUUGUAUGUACCAUAUGCAUAGGGAUCGGCUAACUCCGUGCCAGCAGCCGCGGUAAUACGGAGGAUCCGAGCGUAAUCCGGAUUUAUUUGGUUUAGAGGGAGCGUAGGUGGAUGGUUAAGUCAGUUGUGAAAGUUUGCGGCUCAACCGUACAAUUGCAGUUGAAACUGGUAGUCUUGAGUACAGUAGAGGUGGGCGGAAUUCGUGGUGUAGCGGUGAAAUGCUUAGAGAUCAGGAAGAACUCCGAUGGCGAAGGCAGGUCACUGGACUGCAACUGACACUGAGGCUCGAAAGUGUGGGUAUCAAACAGGAUUAGAUACCCGUGUAGUC